rnacentral:rRNA from 1 species
CAGCCGCCAGGUAAUACGAAGGGGGCUAGCGUUGCUCGGAAUUACUGGGCGUAAAGGGAGCGUAGGCGGAUCGUUUAGUCAGGGGUGAAAUCCCGGGGCUCAACCUCGGAACUGCCUUUGAUACUGGCGAUCUUGAGUAUGGGAGAGGUGUGUGGAACUCCGAGUGUAGAGGUGAAAUUCGUAGAUAUUCGGAAGAACACCAGUGGCGAAGGCGACACACUGGCCCAUUACUGACGCUGAGGCUCGAAAGCGUGGGGAGCAAACAAGAUUAGAUACCCCUGUAGUCCCUGUCUCUUAUACA